rnacentral:rRNA from 1 species
UACGGGGGGUGCAAGCGUUGUUCGGAUUCAUUGGGCGUAAAGGGUGCGUAGGUGGCGCCGUAAGUCAGGUGUGAAAUUUCGGAGCUUAACUCCGAAACUGCAUUUGAUACUGCGGUGCUUGAGGACUGGAGAGGAGACUGGAAUUUACGGUGUAGCAGUGAAAUGCGUAGAGAUCGUAAGGAAGACCAGUGGCGAAGGCGGGUCUCUGGACAGUUCCUGACACUGAGGCACGAAGGCCAGGGGAGCAAACGGG